rnacentral:rRNA from 1 species
UACCGAGGCCUCGAGCGUUAGGCGGAAUCACUGGGCUUAAAGCGUGUGUAGGCGGACUUCUAAGUACCUUGUGAAAUCCCACGGCUCACCCGUGGAACUGCUUGGUAUACUGGUUGUCUUGAGCCUUCUAGGGGCGAGUGGAACAAAUGGUGGAGCGGUGAAAUGCGUAGAUAUCAUUUGGAACGCCAAUGGUGAAAACAACUCGCUGGGGAAGUGCUGACGCUGAGACACGAAAGCCAGGGGAGCGAACGGG